rnacentral:rRNA from 1 species
AUUGAACGCUGGCGGCAGGCCUAACACAUGCAAGUCGAGCGGAACGGCGGACGGGUGGGUAAUGCCUAGGAAUCUGCCUGGUAGUGGGGGAUGACGUCCGGAUACGGGCGAUAAUACCGCAUACUAUCAGAUGAGCCUAGGUAUGAUUAGCUAGUUGGUGGGGUAAAGGCCUACCAAGGCGAAGAUCCGUAACUGGUCUGAGAGGAUGAUCAGUCACACUGUAACUGAGACACGGUCCAGACGCCUACGGGAGGAAGCAGUGGGGAAUAUUGGACAAUGGGCGAAAGCCUGAUCCAGCCAUGCCGCGUGUGUGAAGAAGGUCUUCGGAUUGUAAAGCACUUUAAGUUGGGAGGCGUUACCAACAGAAUAAGCACCGGCUAACUUCGUGCCAGCAGCCGCGGUAAUUC